rnacentral:rRNA from 1 species
UGGCGGACGGGUGAGGAAUACAUCGGAAUCUACUCUGUCGUGGGGGAUAACGUAGGGAAACUUACGCUAAUACCGCAUACACCUACGGGUGAAAGCAGGGGAUCUUCGGACCUUGCGCGAUUGAAUGAGCCGAUGUCGGAUUAGCUAGUUGGCGGGGUAAAGGCCCACCAAGGCGACGAUCCGUAGCUGGUCUGAGAGGAUGAUCAGCCACACUGGAACUGAGACACGGUCCAGACUCCUACGGGAGGCAGCAGCC